GAUCUGUUUCUGUCAAUUGUUUGUGAUCGCCAGCCGACAUUGUAGUUGUCAGCCAUUAUUAUUUUGUCAUGUGGGCUGACAUAUUAAAGGCAACAUGUGAUUGGUUGAUAUUAUAACAAAUUACGUAUUCAUCCAGCCACUUCCAGCUAUUGUUACGUUGCAUUUGAUUAGUUAAGUCAUUAGAUUGAUAAAUUCUUUUGGACAAAGUUUUUUUUUUCUUUUCAUUUAAUCGAAGCGAAGAAGGGUAGCGGGCACAGUAUCCAUGACCUUUGCAGGUUUUACCAGACAUGUGGAGAUCACUGUAGUUGAUGUUCCACUUUAUCUUCUGAAGAUUGAUGCCUGACGUUCACUGGAGGGAUAAAAGUAGAAUGGGGUACUAUGGUCUCUUGGCUGAAACAGCUUGAAGCAUCCCUUGGCAAAAUAAGCAUGAAAUAUCCUUGUAGACUUGUAUUCAGUAGCUGCCAAUCCUUGUA
rnacentral:lncRNA from 1 species